CCAAGGGCUCUUUUUAGAGCCACUUAAAAAAUAAUAAUUAUAUAUCU
rfam:Cavia porcellus supercont2_317 genomic scaffold, whole genome shotgun sequence.